UACGUAGGGUGCGAGCGUUAAUCGGAAUUACUGGGCGUAAAGCGUGCGCAGGCGGUUUUGUAAGCCAGAUGUGAAAUCCCCGGGCUUAACCUGGGAAUGGCAUUUGGGACUGCAAGGCUUGAGUGCGGCAGAGGAGACUGGAAUUCCUGGUGUAGCAGUGAAAUGCGUAGAUAUCAGGAGGAACACCGGUGGCGAAAGCGCUCAUCUGGCCCGAUACUGACGCUGAAGCACGAAAGCUAGGGGAGCAAACGGG
rnacentral:rRNA from 1 species